rnacentral:rRNA from 1 species
GGACGAACGCUGGCGGCGUGCCUAACACAUGCAAGUCGAGCGGAGGUAUUCAAGGAGCAAUCUGCGGAUACUUUAGCGGCGGACGGGUGAGUAACGCGUGAGCAACCUGCCUUUCACAGGGGGAUAAGGCGGCGAAAGCCGCUCUAAUACCGCAUGAGACCCCGGUGGUGAUACCACAGCGGUCAAAGGAGCAAUCCGGUGAGAGAUGGGCUCGCGUCCGAUUAGGUAGUUGGUGGGGUAAAGGCUCACCAAGCCAAUGAUCGGUAGCCGGCCUGAGAGGGUGAACGGCCACAUUGGAACUGAGAGACGGUCCAAACUCCUACGGGAGGCAGCAGUGGGGAAUAUUGGGCAAUGGGGGAAACCCUGACCCAGCAACGCCGCGUGAGGGAAGAAGGUUUUCGGAUUGUAAACCUCUGUUCUUGGGGAAGAGCAGAAGACGGUACCCAAGGAGGAAGCCCCGGCUAACUACGUGCCAGCAGCCGCGGUAAUACGUAGGGGGCGAGCGUUGUCCGGAAUGAUUGGGCGUAAAGGGCGCGUAGGCGGCUGUGUAAGUCAGUAGUGGAAGUCCAGCUUUUAAGGUUGGAAGUGCUAUUGAAACUGUGCAGCUUGAGUGCAGGAGAGGUUAUCGGAAUUCCCGGUGUAGCGGUGAAAUGCGUAGAGAUCGGGAGGAACACCAGUGGCGAAGGCGGGUAACUGGACUGCAACUGACGCUGAGGCGCGAAAGUGUGGGGAGCAAACAGGAUUAGAUACCCUGGUAGUCCACACUGUAAACGAUGAAUGCUAGGUGUAGGGGGUAUCGACCCCUUCUGUGCCGGAGUAAACACAAUAAGCAUUCCGCCUGGGGAGUACGGUCGCAAGAUUAAAACUCAAAGGAAUUGACGGGGGCCCGCACAAGUGGUGGAUGAUGUGGUUUAAUUCGAUGCAACGCGAAAAACCUUACCCACCUUUGACAUGGCAGGAAGUUUCCAGAGAUGGAUUCGUGCUCGAAAGAGAACCUGCACACAGGUGCUGCAUGGCUGUCGUCAGCUCGUGUCGUGAGAUGUUGGGUUAAGUCCCGCAACGAGCGCAACCCUUGUCAUUAGUUGCUACGAAAGGGCACUCUAAUGAGACUGCCGGUGACAAACCGGAGGAAGGUGGGGAUGACGUCAAGUCCUCAUGGCCCUUAUAGGUGGGGCUACACACGUCAUACAAUGGCCGGUACAAAGGGUCGCAAACCCGCGAGGGGGAGCCAAUCCAUCAAAGCCGGUCGUAGUCCGGAUCGCAGUCUGCAACUCGACUGCGUGAAGCCGGAAUCGCUAGUAAUCGUGGAUCAGCAUGUCACGGUGAAUACGUUCCCGGGUCU